rnacentral:hammerhead_ribozyme from 1 species
AUCCAGCUAACGAAUCCCAAAUGGGACGAAACGAGAGUCAAACUGGAU